rnacentral:rRNA from 1 species
UACGUAGGGGGCAAGCGUUAUCCGGAUUUACUGGGUGUAAAGGGAGCGCAGACGGCAGUGCAAGUCUGAUGUGAAAGCCCGGGGCUCAACCCCGGAACUGCAUUGGAAACUGUACAGCUUGAGUGUCGGAGAGGUAAGCGGAAUUCCUAGUGUAGCGGUGAAAUGCGUAGAUAUUAGGAGGAACACCGGUGGCGAAGGCGGCUUACUGGACGAUGACUGACGUUGAGGCUCGAAAGCGUGGGGAGCAAACAGGAUUAGAUACCCCCGUAGUCCCUGA